AUUGAACGCUGGCGGCAGGCCUAACACAUGCAAGUCGAGCGAGCGGCGGACGGGUGCGUAAUGUCUGGGAAACUGCCGGUUAGAGGGGGGUCACUACUGGAAACGGUAGCUAAUCCCGCAUACCAUCAGAUGUGCCCAGAGGGGAUUAGCUAGUAGGGGGGGUAAUGGCUCACCUAGGCGACGAUCCCUAGCUGGUCUGAGAGGAUGAUCAGCCACACUGGGACUGAGACACGGUCCAGACUCCUACGGGAGGCAGCAGUGGGGAAUAUUGGACAAUGGGCGAAAGCCUGAUGCAGCCAUGCCGCGUGUAUGAAGAAGGCCUUCGGGUUGUAAAGUACUGUCAGCGGGGAGGCGUUACUCGCAGAGGAAGCACCGGCUAACUCCGUGCCAGCAGCCGCGGUAAUUC
rnacentral:rRNA from 1 species